GACGUAGGUGGCGAACGUUAUCCGGAAUUAUUGGGCGUAAAGGGUGCGAAGAUGGCCUGAUAAGUUAGCAGUGGGAAAUCGAGGCUCAACCUCGUGGAAGCUGGUAAUACUGUCAGGCUCGAGUGCAGGAGAGGUUAACGGAACUCCAUGUGGAGCGGUAAAAUGUGUAGAUAUAUGGAAGAACACCAAUAACGGCGAAGGCAGUUAACUAUUCUGUUACUGACAUUGAGGCACGAAAGCGUGGGGAGCAAAACGG
rnacentral:rRNA from 1 species